rnacentral:rRNA from 1 species
ACACGACUACAUUAGAUACCCGGGUAGUCCUAGCCGUAAACGAUACUCGCUAGGUGUCGGCCACGGUGCGACCGUUGUCGGUGCCGUAGGGAAGCCGUGAAGCGAGCCACCUGGGAAGUACGGCCGCAAGGCUGAAACUUAAAGGAAUUGGCGGGGGAGGCACCACAACGGGUGGAGCUUGCGGUUUAAUUGGAUUCAACGCCGGAAAUCUUACCGGGACCGACAGCAACAUGAAGGCCAGGCUGAAGACUUUGCCGGAUUAGCUG